UUCGCGACCAAAUGAUACGUUGUUACCAAAGACGACAAUGUUUAUCAAGCAUAGGUCAUUGUGUGCCAUAUAGGUUGGUUGUCCUCUUAACCAAUGAGUGUGGAGACACUGGUAUGGCAUACAGGUGAGAUGUAAGGGUACAUCUGCACUGAACGUGACCGACUUUGGAGCUAUUUCUGCUGUCAAGAUUUGCUCCGAUGGAAUAUGGGUAUAAAUAUCCCUCCGACCUGAGACCGUCAUGGUGACUUGCAAGCAACUCACUGCAC
rnacentral:lncRNA from 1 species